rnacentral:rRNA from 1 species
UACGUAGGGGGCAAGCGUUGUCCGGAAUCAUUGGGCGUAAAGCGCGCGUAGGCGGCCCGGUAAGUCCGUUGUGAGAGUCAAAGGCUCAACCUUUGAACGCCGAUGGAUACUGCCGGGCUAGAGUCCGGAAGAGGCGAGUGGAAUUCCUGGUGUAGCGGUGGAAUGCGCAGAUAUCAGGAGGAACACCAAUAGCGAAGGCAGCUCGCUGGGACGGUACUGACGCUGAGGCGCGAAAGCGUGGGGAGCGAACAGG